UUCAUAUGGGGGGGGUCCAGGUGGGAUUUCCCCUUCCCCCCUCCUCAUGUUGACCUUUUCCCCUCCCUCUCCCAGUUCGCCAUCGGCUCCUUGAUGGACGAUUACCUGGGCCUCGUCAGCUGAGCACAAGGAGCAGCCGUGCCCCCCCCUUCACUUGUUCCCCCACUCCUCAUUUUGUGUUGCCCCCCCCCGCCACUUCUUCUCCCCCCUUUCCCCCCCCCUCCCAGUUCUGGGGCAACCCCAGAGCUGGGGGGACUCUGCCCUUCCUCACCAACGAGCCCACAUUCCCAAAUAAACGCCUUUUCCCUUUCAUUCCA